GGGCAUUUCUACAUAAUUAUUGAUCAACCUUGAACCAUAGUUUCUCAAAAAGUCAUAUAAAUGGGAGAGGAUUGAGGUAGAAGUAUGUGAUAUAUAAUUUAUUAUCUAAAUUUGGACACUUUUGUCUGGAAAGAAAAAGAAGAAAAGUAAAGAAAAACUGCCAGGAUGCUGGGACAAGAGGUGCACCACAUCCUGCUGGGGAAAGCAAACCAGAACAUCAGGUCAUCCUGGGUAGACACAACCUGAGCCAGUGAGCAACACUGCCCCCAUUCCAGCUGAUUUCUAGUGUAAUUUUCCAUCAUCUGCCUUUUUAAAUGUAGAAAGUCUUGAUUCAGGCUUGACUGGAAGUAUUAAAUGUCUACCUCACUUUUGAUAGGAAGAAGAUGAUUUUUCACCUAGUGGAGUCAUUGAACAGUGGUCUUCAAAUUGGGAUUAUUUCCAAGAAUAGAUUAAAAUGCCAUGAAAAAGAAAAAAUUAUAGAAAAGCAAAAAGAGCUGAAUGCAGUGAAUGAACAUCUGUGAAUGAAGUUGAGAAGGUAUAUGUGGGGCAGACUAGAAUUGCAGUGCACAGAUACAAGAAUGUUGCCUGCUUUGGAGCCAAGACUGCCUUCCGGAUAAAGGGCCCACAGAGAGCUGAGAGCUGUGUAAUACCUCAAAGACUGAAGAAAAGAGUUAGACAGCCAUCUUUCCUUAGAGGAUUUUGCUGCAGACAGCUUGAACUACCAGAAGGUUAUAUACUGACCAUGGGUAGAGUAAGGAAGAAAUACAUCCUUCGGAAAGGACAAUGAAGAUCUUUACAGCAGGGUCUUGCCUCAUCACUGCCAUGACAGGGGGGUCCAAUGUGAGGAUUCUGGUGUCUAUGCCAAGCAUCUCUUUUCCAACGUAGAUCUGAUUUCUUAACAUAGCCAACAGCAAGUCAACAUCAGCUUUGCAGAGAAAAGCAGGGAUGCGUGUGCACAAAGAAAAGGCCAUGUGAGGACAUAGCAAGAGGGAAGCUGUCCGCAAGCCAAGGAAAAAGGCCUCAGGAGAAACCAAAUCUGCCAAUACAUUGAUCUUGGACUUCCAGCAUUCAGAAAUGUAUGUGAAAAUUAAGGACAGAUCCUAUGCUGACCUGAUAAACAAAGAUAGCUCUUUCGAGCUCAAUGUACAUUGAGUGUAACAAGAGGGAAGGAGGGAGGAAACCACUGCCCAUUUGGGAUUCCUUCAAAUUCACAUCUCUCCAAAAUGGGAGACUUGUAUUUUCUGACAUUCAACUUAAUCGAAGAAUAAAGCUUUAACAGUGGCAUCAGUGACAUGAUGAAUGAUGCAUCAUUUUGAAGUAAUAAUGGUUUUCCCAGUGACUCAGAAAUAGCAGUAUGUUCAGAUUCAGUGUGCCUGUUCAUGAGAGCUCUGCAGAAAUUGCACAUCUGGCUCUUUGCCUGUGCACCUGAAGUUAUCUCAGGAGAAAUUAUACAAAUUAAAUACAGACACAGAGAAGGUCUUUUUUAAUUCAAAGGAAAAGAAUAUAUAUUCAAGAAAAGCAAAAAAGGUAAGAGAAAAGGUAAGGGACUGUAGUGAUAUUAAGCUA
rnacentral:lncRNA from 1 species